GGCGCCUCGGCACACCUGGGGAAGUUCAGGUUAAAUAGCUCCACAUUCCUCAACACACAGCUGAUUGAAACAUUAACAAACAGUAAUCCACGGGCCAGGCCGCAGAUGGGCCGGGAACCACGCCAACAACUCAGAGAGAGAGAGAGAGAGGCUCGCUGUCGGGUAGAGAUUCCCACAGUACACUCGAAUUGCUUCAAGAGGAGAUCUACCUGCAGACAUUAUGGACAGAAGCAACGAUUACAACAACCAAAACCCCUUUUAAUAAAUGUUUGAGCACGUCAGUAUUGUUUUAAUAUAGACUUGAAAAAAUGUGAAGCUAUCCUUUAAAGUAAAGGAUGUGUGUGUGUAUAGAGGAACAGAAUGAGUAGAGAUUCUUCCUUCAUUAGUUUCUUCCAAUAAUGCAACACUAGCAGCCCGCAUUGUUUAAUCAAACUCAUUCUGUCAAUGCAAUAAACUGGCUGAUAUUUACUGUUACCACAGUCAGAAAUGAGUAAAUUUCAGGGAUGCUUCCUUGCUGGUAAUCAAAGAGCCAGAGUCAAAAGUGUUUAAAUAGAAAUUUGUAUUUACAUCGAUAUCAACAUCAACAGAAAAAAUCUGUAAUAUACAUCCUGUAAAAUGACAGCUUAUUUUACCUCCAAACAAAGAAAAACAAAAACAACCAAACGAUCUCUUGCCUCUUUUUGCACUUCAUUCAAACUCUACAAAGUUCCUUUUUCCUGAAGUAACAAAAUCUUGACAUAAAAUGAAGUUGUUUCCUGAAAAAUAGAAGAGAUAUUGAUAUGUCUUGAAGUGGAUAUCAUUCCAUUGGUAUUCCUCUCACAGCAAACAUGCUUCACUAUCUUUUUUCCUGGAUGUAAAAACGUUCUGCUGCGGGGUUGAGAGUUUUUCCAGUCCUCGUCGCACUGCGCUGGUAGCUUUCUCACUGUGGAACAACUUAAGCCCCAUGGCCUUUAUGUGUACAGUACAUAACCAUCAUAUGCUUUUACAGAUCCAUGAUAUGUACCCAUUUACCAUCA